UAGGGCCAUAUCAUGUUUAGACAUCGGUUCUCAUACGAUCACCGAAAUUAAGCAACGUCGAGCCUUGUCAGUACCUAGAUGGGGGACAGCAUGGAAAUACCAGGUACUGUAAG